ACUUCCUCCUUCAGUACCAGGCCUUUCUAGGCUUUGAUCUAGAAAAAGAUGAUUUUUUUGUGCUUUGAGUUGGGGAUCUGUCCCUUCGACUUUAACCUCCGAACAGCCUCCCUCAUAUGUUUGGGUUGUAGUGGUGGCAUUUCUCCCCACUUCUCACACACAUCCAGUGCUAAAAAAGAGGACAGGAAGAAAGCUUCAUUGUCACACAAAGACUUCAUAUCACACAAUCCAUUUGAAUCCUGUAAUUCCCAUUAACCCUUCUUAAGCUUGCUAAGGAAAUAAGACAUUUUCCCUUCUUAAGAGAAUGCUGUGAAACAGGUCAUGUUAACUUUAGUAUAAUAUAUCAUAUCAGGCUUUGUCAUAGGCAACAGUUUAAAACAUAUCUUCUGCUUGAAAAAAUAAAACAUUCCUCUGACAAGAUUAGCGAUACAUUGUGGCCAGGUUCUUUCCUGACGGAGAGAGGGCAGUUCCCAUGGGUCAUAACACUGGGGACUAUACCUCAUCCACCACACUGGUGAGCCCCCGUGAUUGCUUUUCUUGUGUCUUUAAUUUGGCAUCAGAAAUGAACAAAGUCCAUUGGAGAAAAAUAAGUUUGCUUCUGUCACCCUGGGCUGAGGACAAGAAUCAAAGGAGAUUUCCCAGAUGCUUCCUUGUCUCUGAGUAUUAAAACUUUUGAGGAAUAAUGGUCAUGCCCUCCUGAAUACAAGGUGCCCCACUUGGUUAACUCCUAACUAAUGCAAAUGGAGACUCCCACAAGUACUCUAAUAGGUCCCUUAGUAUAGAUCUGCUUGAAAAUAAGACCACCAGAGUAUCAAUAAUACUCACCUUCUUCUACCACUUCCCCGACAAAGACCUUGGAAAUACCAGACAUAGCAAUAACGACAUUCUGAGACACAGAGGUUCCAGUGAUGGACUGGAUCAGCUUGAAAGAAGGACAAAGACCAUGAAUUAAGAUAGUCAAGAACUGGUUUUGGAAUACAGUACCCUUAAGAGUUUUUCUCUAAAAAAGUGCUAAAGGCUGGAUGCUGAAAUUAAGACUAUUAAAACAAGGAUUUGGGUGUACAGUGACUUAUUCUGUAUGUAGAGACCGUAUCCUUAUAAUAUAAAACUCCCAAUUCAUAAUUGAGGGGCAUGUUACUUUUAUUUUCCUGCAUGAAUGAUCCACCCGUUUGACUAACACCUCACUCAAAAUGCCAAUGGACAUAGCUCAUGCAUUUAGUUCAGCUCUCAUAUUUGAUGGAAAUGAAGUGUGGUAGUCCAUUCUUACCCUUUUAAUGGCUGCCUUAGGGAAAGCUGACCGGCGAUACAUUUCAUAACGGUUCAGCUGCUCCUCCGAAAAAGAAGAAACCAGGAUUCUAGACAAAGAUUCAGGUAAUUAAAGUGGCUUACAAGAAUGAAUGCUUAAGAUAUAUUAUUACAUCAAUAAAAGCAAGUUUCGGACAAUUAGUGAAUUUUCAAGGGGUCAAUAGCAUUAGGCUUUGUGCAUACAAGGAAUGAAGAUAAAAUAUUUUUAUUCUUAAGGAACUUGAGAAAAAAGUGAAAAUACAACUUCCUUUCUACUUCAUUAAGCAUAAAAACUUGAAUAACAAUGUUGGGUCACUAUAUAAUAUACUAUCUAGAUUGUAUUUUCAGCACUUUGCUCUCUCCUUGUAACUCUAUACCUUUACUACACAUUGAUGGUAAACAUUUGAUACAUAAAUUUAUAUUCAAACCAGUAGUUAGAUUUGGGGGAAAAUAUUUGUAAAAUAUAUGGAAAAUGAUUAAUACUUUCAAAUAAAUGAAAAGAUGGCUAUAUUAAUUUAGAAAACGAGCAAAUGACAUGAAUAGGGAAUUUGCAAAAAUACCAAUGGCCAAUACAGAAGAAAAAUUAACCUUCAUUAUUAACUAAAGAAAUUAAAAUUAAUAAAAUAACAUUUUCAUGAAUCAGACAAGUAUUAUAAAGCACAGUAUUAGUAAGAAUGGGAGGAUAAAAAAACUCAUACCUGCUGGUAGAGUGUGAAGUGAACAACCUUUCUGGAGAAGAAUUUGGAAAUGUGUAUGAGGAAUAUUUGAAAAUAUUCAUACUGUUUGAACUGGCAAUUCACUUCUAGGAGUUUAUUUAGGAAAUAGAUGGACAAGUAUGUGAAGGAUGUGCUCAAAGAUACUCGUCAUAAUGUUGUCAAAAGAAAAAAAAGGAACUAUAGGGGUUAUUUAUCUGCAUAAUGGAAUAUAACGAAGCCAUUGCAACUGAGGAUUUAUGGGCAUAUUUACUGACAGGAAAAUAUUUAGCUACACAUAUCAAACAUUAAAAACAAAUCUGAAAAAAAAAAAAAAAUCUGAAAACAACAACAACAACCAAAACCCCCAAAUCUGAAGAAGUAUAUAAUCAAAUAUAUAUCCGGGGUUACUCUGGGUGGUAGGAUUAUAGGUAAUUAUUUUUUCCAUUUUUCUGUAUUCUCUGAAUAAUUUCCAACGAGCCCAUACUACUUUUAUAAUCAGAAAACACAAUGAGGGGUGCCUGGCUGGCUCAGCCCAGGGGAGUGUGUGACUCUUGAUCUAGGGCUUGUGGGUUUGAGCCCCAUGUUGGGUGUAGAGAUUACUUAAAAAUAAAAUCUUAAAAAGAAAACAACCCCAAAACACUACAAUGAAGCUACUUCCAAGUAAAGAAAAUUAUGACCUAGAUAUAUAAUUACUGAUAUGGAAAACAUUCACCAUAUAUAAUAUGAAAAACAGGUUACAAAUAGUAGUAUCUUUGAAAAAAAUUCUAGAUAUGUAUGUAUAGAAAAUAUCUUGGAGACUAUAUACCAAAAUAUGAACAGUGUUUAUCUCUGGUAAUAAAGUGAUAUCUUUCUUUUUACUUAUAUUUCCUAAAAUGUAACAUAGGAUAUUUGCUUUAUUUUCUUUUGAAUAUAAAAAAGUAAAAAAAAUUUAAAGGCCAAAGAAACUUAUUAACUUUGUGUGGUCAAAGUAGAGCCUUGGAAUGGGGAAAAAAAAUCACAAAGUGACUUACUGCAUCUUUUGAAUCUCAUCUUCAUCCACUUUUUGCUUCUUCUCUUUCUUUUCUUUGGUAUCUAUUUUUAUUUUUUUGGCUGCAGGAGUAAGCAAAGAGGAGUCUUCCCUUUCAACUGCUGUUAAAUCUGAGAUGUCCUGAUUCUUGAGCUGAAAAGAUGAAAGAAACCCUAUUACAUAUAUAUUCAAGCCUACAUUCCAGACUUGGGCAAGAGAGUUAUGGUGAGUUAAGAGUUUUAUCUUAGCUUGGAGGGACCAACCAGGAAGGCGGUCGGGAGAGCACUAAAAAUCUCGGAAUACUCCUCUAGCCUCAUCAACACUUCCCUCCCUACCUCGCCGUCUUCGGCCGUGGCUUCCUUCAAGUCCCCAUCUCCGUCCACGUCAGUUUCCUCCGGGAUUCCGUCAGUAUCUGUAGGCCCGGGGACCCCGGGAGCAGGGGCCGUUUCAUCUGACUCCCUUGCCUCUCCACCUUUUUCCGUGGGCGACUCGCAGGCAUUAUCCAUAGCGGUAAGAAAAAGAGCGGAGAGAUCGCCCUCCUGUCAGAUCCUGGAGCUCACGCACGACCUACUGGAGCACAGCAGCCCCGAAGCUUACUUCCUGUCGUCGCUCUGUGAUGACAUCACUCCUACCGCUCCUCGGAGGGGACAGUUUGAAGCACGUUUAGAGUACUUCAGGACUCCCUUUUAACUCUGAUUCGGUGACGGUUGGAGAGGGAAGACUGAGGUUACAGAAUUCAGUUUGUGGAUUUUCCACACUGGGAAAGAAGAGUUGUGUUGCUUACUGAAGGACUUUUUUCUCUUUUUUCCCCCUCCGUUCUGCCUUUCCAAAAACGAAGUUAACUGCUUAAUCCGCUUUUCUCAGAGUCAAGUUUGGGGACGGGAGAAAACUCCAUUCCAUUGUACGCGGGUGUGGUGGGAUGCGGCUACCUGGUAAAUUUAUAGGCGGGGACACAGCUUCGUACAUUUCAAUUGGUUAGCGAUCGUGGGCCUGUGUGAAUCGCCAGCAUUUCUCUUCGGUUCCUUAUGCACCUUAAAAAAAAAAAAAAAAAAAAAAAA